rnacentral:rRNA from 1 species
UACGUAGGGUGCAAGCGUUAAUCGGAAUUACUGGGCGUAAAGCGUGCGCAGGCGGCUUUGCAAGACAGAUGUGAAAUCCCCGGGCUCAACCUGGGAACUGCAUUCGUGACUGCAUGGCUGGAGUGCGGCAGAGGGGGAUGGAAUUCCGCGUGUAGCAGUGAAAUGCGUAGAUAUGCGGAGGAACACCGAUGGCGAAGGCAAUCCCCUGGGCCUGCACUGACGCUCAUGCACGAAAGCGUGGGGAGCAAACAGG